GUGCGUUGUAUCUUUACGAGUGCUCUGGCUGCUGGGAGAGAUAGCGACAGAACAACAGGCCAUGGAGCUUAGCUGCGGUGAGCGCAUGAACGUAAUGGCCAAUCAGAAGUUUAGAUGAGUCACUGCUUGCUUAUAAAAACAACAGGUUGCAGAUACGAUGAAGAAGACUUCAGUGCAGGAGGAUGACUCCAGUUCAGGAAAAACAUACAGGACCAGAGUCAGUUACAAAUAUUUUUUUUCAGUGAUAUAUUGUAUAGAUCUAACAAUG